GCUAGCACAAACUGGGAAACGGGGGACAUUGAGUCCAACAAAUUCACCUCAGCGUAUAGCACUAGCGACCACACCUUUGGUUGCUACAUCUUCGGCUAUGACGAUAAAGUGAGCUACAUGCAUUCGGCUGCUACCGUCUAUAGCUACGAGUGCGUAAAACAAGCUGAGAGUCAAAGAAAACCUUCUGAUAAUAUUGACAAUGAUUGUGAUGGAGAGAUAGAUGAGGAAAUAGACGACGAACAAGAUGAUGAUCAUGAUUUUGAGAUUGACGAAGACGUAAAAUCUAAAU
rnacentral:sRNA from 1 species